GUGCCUCGCCUCGGAGUUGGCAGCCAGGACACCGCUCUGAGGUUCCGGACUCCGCGCCAAGGGACCCCACGGCGCACGCAGCUGCUGUCCGCGGGCAACGGCCUCGGCGAGCUUCAUACCCGCCUCCCGGGGCCACCGCGCUCCAGGUCCCCCUGACUGGCCAUGCCCACCCGGCAGCUGCUGCACCGCUCCCUGGCCUGUCUUCCACCGGGGUUUCUGUCUCGCUGCUUAGCUUAUGCGAUCCAGGAGGCUCCAAGCUCCUCAGUGUUGGGCAGGACUCUCAGAUGGAGCCAGCACUGGGCACUGGGAACUCCAAGAGGCUCGGCCAUUCCGGACAGCUAAGAUCUGUCAUCCAGGGUGCAACCUGACCCUCCUCCAUCACCACCCCGGCGAGAAAGAAGUUCCCCCCAUGAGCUCCGUUCCAUCCAGAGUACCUAGAUGCCGGCCCAAAGAAGACUGAGCGAGCCCUGGGGAGGAGGAAGGGACAGCCGAAGAUGGAGGACGGCCAAAUAGUGACCCAAGUGUAGAAGCGCCCAUCACAUGCAGGCAAUGGAGUGUGCCAUCAGCAUCGUCCGGGGAAGCGACCCGAUGCUUUUUCCUUGCUCUGGGGACCUGGGCCUCUGCAGGAAACCUGCAUUCCUUCCAACCACCCGGGAGCCACCGGGAGUAAGAAGGCGAAGUUUUCCCCUGUGAGCUCAGGCGUCAGAAGUCGUGCCUUCCCCAGCUCAUGGAGCCGGCCCUGCUGGGGGGCUCCUGCCUCUUGUUGUUGUUGUUGUUGUUUUUGACAGGCAGAGUUAGAUAGUGAGAGAGAGAGAGAGAAAGGUCUUCCUUCCGUUGGUUCACCCCCAAAGUGGCCGCUAUGGCAGGCGCGCUGCGCUGAUCCGAAGCCAGGAGCCAGGUGCUUCUCCUGGUCUCCCAUGGGGUGCAGGGCCCAAGCACUUGAGCCAUCCUCCACUGCACUCCUGGGCCACAGCAGAGAACUGGACUGGAAGAGGAGCAACCAGGACAGAAUCCAGUGCCCCAACUGGUACUAGAACCCAGGGUGCCGGUGCCACAGGCGGAGGAUUAGCCUAGUGAGCCGCGGCACCAGCCGGCUCCUGCCUCUUUAGGAGAGUGGUGCAGGGACUUUGGGAUCCAGCCACAAUGGGUUCAGAAAGUUUAGCCAAGGAAAAGUUCCUGAAGGCCAUUGGCCUGGUUCUCCAACCCCACUGAAGACAGAGGAGAGGAAGGGAGGAAGACUACAGAUGUGCUGUCAAACAAAAUCUCCACCCACUCCUGCCAGAUGCGGGCUCUGUUAACAAAAUUCCUCUGCCCUUGUACCAACCCCACGCCAUAUGCUGAUCCUGAAAUGAUGGGAUGAGACACUCAAUCCUUAUUUUUUUUUCUUUUUGUUGUUCUGGCCAUUUCUUUCUUGAAGUUCAGUAUUUUUUUUUAAGAAUUCCACUUUCAAGUGGAAAUAGAGCCCAUUUCAAUUCUGGUCUUUUCGCUAUAAGUCUUUACUCUGAUCUUCAAAGUAUCUUACUGUCAGGAGAAAUUAAAACUCGGAUGUGUUCUGAUGGACAACCGAAGACCAGAGGAGAAAGCAGCUGUUUCCGUUUUCUCCAAGUCUACCACCCGCAGAACUGAGUCCUCCACCCCUAUGGAUAUGGAGUCCCUCUCUUUUCCUUACAGAUUCCUUGAGUCGCUGCCACAAAUUCCCGUCUUCACCAGCGAGCUCAGCACGGCCUCUGCGGUCACUGUCACCAGUGCAGCCAGACUCUGCUGCACAGAGUCUGUGGACUCGGCCAAGUGUGAUUUGUGAGGACAGAUCCGUGCAGGAACCAUCACCGGUGCCAAACUGAAGAUACAGCCAACGCAGGAGGGACCUGAGGUGCACCAGGAAGUCAGCUGGGAGAUCAUGAGUCAUGUUUACACGUUCCCCAGAUGUCCUGGGUGCUGGCAUUACGCAGGUCUGUGAAGUUCCGCGGGUGAGAGUAACAGCACAGAGGACAUUCCCGUUCCCCUCAGCACCUGUGAGUUUACCUUCAGCUUCAGAUGAACACAGUAUCUUAUACACAACAGGCUCCUCCCUCCAGUGGCUGGAUCUCUGAAAAAAGACUAAAAUCCAUUCAAAUGCAAUAAUAAAAAAAAAUGUAGUGUCAUCAUUCAAACAGAAAAGGACGCAUAUUAAAAAUACAAGGCGGGGCCGGCACUGUGGUGCAGUGGGCUAAGCCGCAGCCUGCAGGGCCAGCAUCCCAUAUGGGUGCCAGUUCUAGACCUAGCUGCUCCACUUCUGAUCCAGCUCCCUACUGAUGUGCCUGGGAAAACUCCAGAAGAUGGCCCAAGUCCUUGGGCCCCGCACCCAUGCAGGAGACGUGGAAGAAGCUCCUGGCUCCUGGCUUCGGAUCAGUUUAGCUCCAGUUGUUGUGGCCAUUUGAGGAGUGAACAAGCGGAUGGAAGAUCUCUCUCUCUCUCUCUCUUUCUCUCUCUCUUUCUCUCUGCCUCUCUGUAACUCUUUCAAAUAAGUAAAUCUUUUUUUUUUAAAUAUUCCUUCUUGCAUGAAGAAGUCUAUAUUAAAUGUGGGGAGCAAUCCGGACUAGACUAAGUUACUCGAAUUAGGACUUAUUCUAUGCAUCUGCUCUCCCACAAUAUGGCGCUGGGAGAGAAGUAAACAGCUUCCGCACAGCUGCCUCAAGUUCAACUAAUAAACUGUAGGACUUGCUCCUGAUUGGAGGAGAGCAGCGUACUCGGCGUGUGGGCAGCCGAGUUGGGAUUGGCGGAGGAGGACUAUAAAGGAGGAGAGAGACGGCAUGCACCAGGAACAUCUAUGGGGAACAUCUAUCUGAAGGAACACCUGUGCAGCCCCCAAGAAAGCCGGCCGGCGGUGUGCCGCUCCCCUGCGGAAGUGGGGAAUGUGGCCAGGGGGAACUGCCCUUCCACGGAGGUGGAAGGGAUAGUAGCCAACCCAGGAAGAACCAGCAGCAAACCCGGGGAGGGCCGAGCAGACGAAAGAACAGCGCAGGGUCCUGUGUCGCUCCUCCACGAAGAGGGGGAGCGACAUAAUGGUGCCGUGACUCGGAUAGGAAACCUAGCUCGGAUAGGAAACCUAGCUCGGAUAGGAAACCUGACUCGGAUAGGAAACCUAGGACGGAUAUGAAACUUAGGAGGAAAGAAACGGGAAGAACUGGGAAAAUACCGGAGAGAGAGACUAGCAAACAGCCUAGGGAAAAGCCGGACGAAAAGGGUGCCGGAAGAAGCUAUUGAAAGCCUAGGCAUAGACUCGGAUACGGACUACGGGGGGAAGCUGGGAGAAAUUUCUAAGGGCGAAAGCGAAAGUGAAAGCUAGAACAAACAGACUCGGACGCGGACUGUGGGGAGAGGCCAGGAGAAAUGAGGGAGGAAUAUCGUUGGAGGAAAGCUUGGGGAAACAUACCGGGUAGAGAAAAAUGUUAGGGAAAUUGAAGCCGCGGGGGGCAGGCCGAGGCGGAAACGGAAGCCACUUUGGGGUUCUCAAGUUAGCCCGGGAAUAGGGGGCGAAAAGUUGAAACCAGAAGCUGAAACGUGAGCCAGGUUGGGAUCUGUCUGAUUAGCCCGGGGAGCAAAGGACGGGAAGCCAAACCGUGGGGCGGAGACGUACGCUGGGUUGAAUUCGCCAGGCUAGCCCGGGGAACUUAGAUUGAAUGCUAGUGGCGGACACGUAAGCUACGCUGUGUUACUCGCGGAAGCCGCCGCGUGCAGAGAGAGCACGGGGCGUGAAUAGAUAGGGAACGGGGCUGGCGUAGGCCGUGGUUCAGACGCGAAAGGGUUAAGCGUGGAGACCGCGGAGCGCGCGAAGCCGAGCCGCGCAAAGCCGGGAAGCUGCGCAGAUGAGAGAGGCGCGCGGGCUGAAGCGGCGCAGAGCCGGGAACCCGCCGGCGGGGCGAGGUGCCGGAAAGCCGCAGGGAUAAGAGAAACAGAAGUUUAGAAGUAAAGUGAGAAAAAUAGGAAUGCUGGAAGAUAGAAGUAAAAUGGGAGAAAUAGGAAUGCCCGGAGAUAGAGAAAUAGAGAAAUAAAAAGGCCUCCCUACAACACUGCAAUGUGAGAGCUUGGAUUCGGUCUGCCCGAUUAGUGAGGCGAUGAGCACCUGGGCGGCUAGCAGCUUAUGCGCCGCAGGUCACCGAAGACAGGCACGAAUUAACAUCAGUAAGGCUUCCCCACAAUACAACAAUAUUAAGCUUGGAUUCGGUCUGCCUGAUUUAAGGCGGUAAGCGCCAGCAAGCAGCUCGACCAGAGUAUGAGCUGCAGGUCACCGAAGAUAGGCACGAACCAACACUAAUAAGUCUCCCCCACAAUAAGGCAAUGAGAAGGCUUGGAUUCGGUUUGCCUGAUAGGUCUUGUAAGUCCCCUGCAGGCAGAGCAGAGCAUGCGCUGCAGGGCACCGAACACAGGCACGCAUCAGCGCCUAAAAACCUCCUCACAACAUGGCGAAGAGAGGACCCGGAUUCGGUUUUCCUGAUUGAUAGGACUUGUAAGAGCCUGUGGCAACUCUAGCAAGUAGAGCAGAGUGUGUGCCGCGGGACACCGAAGACAGGCGCGUAUCAACGCCAAAAAAUAAAAAGAAAGGGGGAUCUGUGGGGAGCAAUCCGGACUAGACUAAGUUACUCGAAUUAGGACUUAUUCUAUGCAUCUGCUCUCCCACAAUAUGGCGCUGGGAGAGAAGUAAACAGCUUCCGCACAGCUGCCUCCAGUUCAACUAAUAAACUGUAGGACUUGCUCCUGAUUGGAGGAGAGCAGCGUACUCGGCGUGUGGGCAGCCGAGUUGGGAUUGGCGGAGGAGGACUAUAAAGGAGGAGAGAGACGGCAUGCACCAGGAACAUCUAUGGGGAACAUCUAUCUGAAGGAACACCUGUGCAGCCCCCAAGAAAGCCGGCCGGCGGUGUGCCGCUCCCCUGCGGAAGUGGGGAAUGUGGCCAGGGGGAACUGCCCUUCCACGGAGGUGGAAGGGAUAGUAGCCAACCCGGGAAGAACCAGCAGCAAACCCGGGGAGGGCCGAGCAGACGAAAGAACAGCGCAGGGUCCUGUGUCGCUCCUCCACGAAGAGGGGGAGCGACAAUUAAAUCCUUCAACUGAUUGGAUAUGGUCCACCCCAAAUCAUAAAGGCUUAUGUGCUUUACUCAAAGACCAUUGAUUUCAACGUUAAUCUUAUCCGAAAAAUGCCUUUGCAGAAGCAGCCAAAAUAUUAUCUGGCCAAUUACAAAAUCAACAUGAAGGGAGCAGGCAGCAAGCCCUCUCCCUGUAGUUUCCAGGUUAACGGAGUUCAGAGGGAGAUGAGCAGUCUACACGUGCACAGCCGCUGUACCUGGGAAAGCCUGCAGAACACAGUGGAUGGACACGCGUGCAGAGCUGGGAAUCAAUUCCAAGGCCGAAGCCUGCUGCUACCAUCAAGCAGAAUCCUAUUCCGUCCCCAAAUGUUAUUGAGCUGACAACAGGAGACAGUGUGAUGUGGGCUUAAUAAAAGCUGGGUUGGAAGGCAAAGUGAAUCUUA